rnacentral:rRNA from 1 species
UUCUGACGUGCAAAUCGAUAAUCUGAUCUGGGUAUAGGGGCGAAAGACUAACCGAACCAUCUAGUAGCUGGUUCCUUCCGAAGUUUCCCUCAGGAUAGCAAGCGUACGUUUUUAGUUUCAUCCCGUAAAGCGAAUGAUUAGAGGCCUUGGGGCGUAUAUAGCCUCAACCUAUUCUCAAACUUUUAAUGGGUGUGAGUGUUCUUUCUCAAUUGAAGAACGCUGCUAAAUAAGUAUGCUUAGUGGGCCAUUUUUGGUAAGCAGAACUGGCGCUGUGGGUUGAACCAAUUGUUGAGUUAAAGUGCCUAAAGCUGGAAUGCGCAUGAGAUCUAUAAAGGGUGUUAGUUGCUGAAGACAGCAGGACGGUGGCCAUGGAAGUCGGAAUCCGCUAAGGAGUGUGUAACAACUCACCUGCC